AACGAACGCUGGCGGCAGGCUUAACACAUGCAAGUCGAACGCUCCGCAAGGAGAGUGGCAGACGGGUGAGUAACGCGUGGGAACGUACCUUUCAGUUCGGAAUAACUCAGGGAAACUUGUGCUAAUACCGGAUACGCCCGUAAGAGGAAAGAUUUAUCGCUGAAAGAUCGGCCCGCGUUGGAUUAGCUAGUUGGUGGGGUAAUGGCCUACCAAGGCGACGAUCCAUAGCUGGUCUGAGAGGAUGAUCAGCCACACUGGGACUGAGACACGGCCCAGACUCCUACGGGAGGCAGCAGUGGGGAAUAUUGGACAAUGGGCGAAAGCCUGAUCCAGCCAUGCCGCGUGAGCGAUGAAGGCCCUAGGGUUGUAAAGCUCUCUCACCGAUGAAGAUAAUGACGGUAGUCGGAGAAGAAGCCCCGGCUAACUUCGUGCCAGCCGCCGCAGUAA
rnacentral:rRNA from 1 species